CUAUACAUGACUCUGCGCAUAUCAAUAAGCGGAGGAAAAGAAACUAACAAGGAUUCCCUUAGUAACGGCGGGUGAAGCGGGAAGAGCUCAAAUUUGAAAUCUUAAAGGGUUUCCCUUUACGAAUUGUAGUUUAAAGAAGUGUUUUCUGUUGAGGUUUUGGUAAAAGUUCUUUGGAAUAGGACAUCAUAGAGGGUGAGAAUCCCGUAUUUGACCUUUACUUUCAACUUUGUGAUGCACUUUCAAAGAGUCGGAUUGUUUGGGAAUGCAGUCCAAAAUGGGUGGUAAAUUUCAUUUAAAGCUAAAUAUUGGCGAGAGACCGAUAGCGAACAAGUACCGUGAGGGAAAGAUGAAAAGAACUUUGAAAAGAGAGUUAAACAGUACGUGAAAUUGUCAAAAGGGAAGCGUUUGACACCAGUGUUGUUUUUCUGAAAAUCAAUUAAAGAACUGUUUAUGCUAAGUUGUUUAGACUUUAUCAGCUAACUGUUUAGUUCUGAGCUUUUCUUUAAUGCACUUUUCAGUUAACAAGUCAACAUCAAUUUCUUUUGCUGUAAAAAAGUUUGAGGAAGGUGGCUUGAGAUUCGUCUUAAGUGUUUAUAGCCUCUUGCCUAUGCAGUCGGAGAGAUUGAGGUCUGCAGCGUAGAUCCUUCGGGGCUAAAUGCAUUUGUGCUAAGUUAUAGCAUUCUAUAGACAACUUGUUGACUAUGAUUUGUCUUGUAGCUUACUCGCUUAUGUUAUUUUACCUACGCUUAGGAUGUUGACAGCAGUAUAGACUG
rnacentral:rRNA from 1 species